rnacentral:rRNA from 1 species
UACGGGGGGGGCAAGCGUUGUUCGGAAUUAUUGGGCGUAAAGAGCUCGUAGGCGGUUUGUCGCGUCUGCCGUGAAAGUCCGGGGCUCAACUCCGGAUCUGCGGUGGGUACGGGCAGACUAGAGUGAUGUAGGGGGAGACUGGAAUUCCCGGUGUAGAGGUGAAAUUCGUAGAUAUCGGGAGGAACACCAGUGGCGAAGGCGGCGACCUGGACAGAUAUUGACGCUGAGGUGCGAAAGCGUGGGGAGCAAACAGG